rnacentral:rRNA from 1 species
CCCUUAGAUGUUCUGGGCCGCACGCGCGCUACACUGAUACAUGCAACGAGUUUAUAACCUUGAUCUGACGGUCUGGGUAAUCUUCAAACUGUAUCGUGUUAGGGAUCGAUUCUUGCAAUUUUUAAUCGUAAACGAGGAAUUCCUAGUAAACGCAAGUCAUCAGCUUGCAUUGAUUACGUCCCUGCCCUUUGUACACACCGCCCGUCGACUCUACCGAUUGAAUGGUUCGGUGAAAACUUUGGACUGUGGCAUUGUCCUUCAUUGGACUUCGCCGUAGGAAAUUGUUUAAACCUCAUCAUUUAGAGGAAGAAUAAGUCGUAGCA